rnacentral:rRNA from 1 species
AUGAACGCUGGCGGCGUGCCUAAUACAUGCCGGUCGAGCGAACAGACGAGGAGCUUGCUCCUCUGACGUUAGCGGCGGACGGGUGAGUAACACGUGGAUAACCUACCUAUAAGACUGGGAUAACUUCGGGAAACCGGAGCUAAUACCGGAUAAUAUAUUGAACCGCAUGGUUCAAUAGUGAAAGACGGUUUUGCUGUCACUUAUAGAUGGAUCCGCGCCGCAUUAGCUAGUUGGUAAGGUAACGGCUUACCAAGGCGACGAUGCGUAGCCGACCUGAGAGGGUGAUCGGCCACACUGGAACUGAGACACGGUCCAGACUCCUACGGGAGGCAGCAGUAGGGAAUCUUCCGCAAUGGGCGAAAGCCUGACGGAGCAACGCCGCGUGAGUGAUGAAGGUCUUCGGAUCGUAAAACUCUGUUAUUAGGGAAGAACAAAUGUGUAAGUAACUAUGCACGUCUUGACGGUACCUAAUCAGAAAGCCACGGCUAACUACGUG